rnacentral:rRNA from 1 species
UACAGAGGGGGCAAGCGUUAUUCGGAAUUAUUGGGCGUAAAGGGCGCGUAGGCGGCUUGGCAAGUGGAUGGUGAAAUCCCUCGGCUUAACCGAGGAACUGCCGUCCAAACUGCUUCGCUUGAGACCGGGAGAGGUGAGUGGAAUUCCCAGUGUAGCGGUGAAAAUGCGUAGAUAUUGGGAGGAACACCAGUGGCGAAGGCGGCUCACUGGACCGGUACUGACGCUGAUGCGCGAAAGCGUGGGGAGCAAACGGG